UACGUAGGGGGCAAGCGUUAUCCGGAUUUACUGGGCGUAAAGCGCGUGUAGGCGGUUGCGCAAGUUGGUUGUGAAAUCUCCCGGCUCAACCGGGAAACUGCAGCCAAAACUGCGCGGCUAGAGUGGCAGAGAGGAAAGUGGAAUUCCCGGUGUAGUAGUGAAAUGCGUAGAUAUCGUGAGGAACACCAGCGGCGAAGGCGACUUUCUGGCUGCUAACUGACGCUGAGACGCGAAAGCGUGGGGAGCGAACAGG
rnacentral:rRNA from 1 species